GUUCACUUUGGCAGUACAUAUACCAAAACUGGAAUGAGGACAGAGAAGAUUAGCAUGGUCACUGUGCAAGGGAGACACACAAAUUUAUAAAGUGUUCCAUAUUUUU